GGUGUCUCAAAGAAAAGUGUAGGAAUUACACAUGGUGGACGAAGUGAGAAGUUUGGUUCAGAUCUUUACUCCUAGAAUUUAGAGUUGUGCUUCUUGUUGCACGAGAGUUUCACGAUGGCAGAAUAUGUUCAUCAAAAUCUGGAGGGCAUGUUGCCUGAACUGGAGGAAUUGGAGCGGAUGGGAGUGUUUUCAAGCGAUGAAAUCAGGACUAUCAUUCGAAAGAGAAGAGAGUUUGAAUACCGCUUGCAGAAGAGGAUUGUCCAGAAGACAGAUUUUCUAAGAUACAUGCAGUAUGAGAUUAACCUGGAUUUGCUGAAGAAGAAAAGAAAGUUG